rnacentral:rRNA from 1 species
GGAAUCUUGCGCAAUGGGCGAAAGCCUGACGCAGCGACGCCGCGUGAGCGAUGAAGGCCUUCGGGUUGUAAAGCUCUGUGGGGAGGGACGAAUAAGUGCAGGCGAAUACCCUGCAUGAUGACGGUACCUCCUUACCAAGCACCGGCUAACUCUGUGCCCGCAGCCGCGGUAAGACCGAGGGUGCAAACGUUGUUCGGAAUUACUGGGCGUAAAGCGCGUGUAGGCGGCAUGGCAAGUCGGGUGUGAAAGCCCACGGCUCAACCGUGGAAGAGCACUCGAAACUGCUGAGCUGGAGUCCUGGAGAGGAAGGCGGAAUACUCGGUGUAGAGGUGAAAUUCGUAGAUAUCGAGUGGAACACCGGUGGCGAAGGCGGCCUUCUGGACAGUGACUGACGCUGAGACGCGAAAGCGUGGGGAGCAAAC